rnacentral:rRNA from 1 species
AUUGAACGCUGGCGGCAUGCUUUACACAUGCAAGUCGAACGGUAACAGGGAGCUUGCUCCGCUGACGAGUGGCGAACGGGUGAGUAAUGCAUCGGAACGUACCCAGUCGUGGGGGAUAACGUAGCGAAAGUUACGCUAAUACCGCAUACGUCCUGAGGGAGAAAGCGGGGGACCGAAAGGCCUCGCGCGAUUGGAGCGGCCGAUGUCGGAUUAGCUAGUUGGUAGGGUAAAGGCCUACCAAGGCGACGAUCCGUAGCGGGUCUGAGAGGAUGAUCCGCCACACUGGGACUGAGACACGGCCCAGACUCCUACGGGAGGCAGCAGUGGGGAAUUUUGGACAAUGGGCGCAAGCCUGAUCCAGCCAUGCCGCGUGAGGGAUGACGGCCUUCGGGUUGUAAACCUCUUUUAUUAGGGAAAAAGACAUUUGUGCUAAUACCACGGAUGUUUGAUUGUACCUGUUGAAUAAGCCCCGGCUAACUACGUG